rnacentral:lncRNA from 1 species
CAUGUCGGGAAUAAGGGGGGACAUACUAGACGUAAGCACUCCUGGGGGCUGUGCCGCCCUGCCUUUCGAUCGAUACACAGUUGAGUAGGCCGAUCACGAACGCUAGAGGUGUGGGAGCGAUCCAGGUCAGGGAAGGCUAAGACGGCGCCUCGCAUAUGGGUAGCAAGAGGGCGCUUAUGCCCCGACGGUGGGGCCUUAUGGGGAAGGGCCCAGCCCAAUAGGGACAGCACACCCCCCACUGAAAGCGCACCUCUGUAUCGACUUCUCUUUCAGUCUAGUCGGUGGAACCGGUGAACCACGCGAGCAGGUUACAUGCGUGGGGCAGAGGGCUCGUAGUACCCCCUUUUCUUGAUCCAGCCCUUUCUUCGCUUCGGUAGUGACUACUCAAAAAAGAGGCA